AUGCACCGAAGCUGCGGCAGCGACACUAUGUGUUGUUGGGUAGGGGAGCGUUCUGUAAGCCUGCGAAGGUGUGCUGUGAGGCAUGCUGGAGGUAUCAGAAGUGCGAAUGCUGACAUAAGUAACGAUAAAGCGGGUGAAAAGCCCGCUCGCCGGAAGACCAAGGGUUCCUGUCCAACGUUAAUCGGGGCAGGGUGAGUCGACCCCUAAGGCGAGGCCGAAAGGCGUAGUCGAUGGGAAACAGGUUAAUAUUCCUGUACUUGGUGUUACUGCGAAGGGGGGACGGAGAAGGCUAUGUUAGCCGGGCGACGGUUGUCCCGGUUUAAGCAUGUAGGCUGGUUGUCCAGGCAAAUCCGGAUAAUCAAGGCUGAGGUGUGAUGACGAGGUACUACGGUGCUGAAGUAACAAAUGCCCUGCUUCCAGGAAAAGCCUCUAAGCAUCAGGUAACAUCAAAUCGUACCCCAAACCGACACAGGUGGUCAGGUAGAGAAUACCAAGGCGCUUGAGAGAACUCGGGUGAAGGAACUAGGCAAAAUGGUGCCGUAACUUCGGGAGAAGGCACGCUGGUGUGUAGGUGAAGCCCCUGCGGGUGGAGCUGAGACCAGUCGAAGAUACCAGCUGGCUGCAACUGUUUAUUAAAAACACAGCACUGUGCAAACACGAAAGUGGACGUAUACGGUGUGACGCCUGCC
rnacentral:rRNA from 1 species